rnacentral:rRNA from 1 species
CCUACGGGAGGCAGCAGUGGGGAAUAUUGCACAAUGGGGGAAACCCUGAUGCAGCGACGCCGCGUGAGUGAAGAAGUAAUUCGUUAUGUAAAGCUCUAUCAGCAGGGAAGAAAAUGACGGUACCUGAGUAAGAAGCCCCGGCUAACUACGUGCCAGCAGCCGCGGUAAUACGUAGGGUGCGAGCGUUAUCCGGAUUUACUGGGUGUAAAGGGAGCGUAGACGGCAGUGCAAGUCUGGAGUGAGAGGCGGGGGCUCAACGCCCGGACUGCUCUGGAAACUGUACGGCUGGCGUGCAGGAGAGGUAGGCGGAAUUCGUGGGGUAGCGGUGAAGUGCGUAGAUAUGACGAAGAAC